rnacentral:RNase_P_RNA from 1 species
GAAGUCGGCCGGACAGUCGCUGUGCGCGAAGCGCAUGGAGGAAAGUCCGGGCUCCACAGGGCAGGGUGCCAGGUAACGCCUGGGGGGCGCGAGCCCACGGAAAGUGCCACAGAAAACAUACCGCCGAUGGCCCGUCACCGGCGGGCACAGGUAAGGGUGAAAAGGUGCGGUAAGAGCGCACCGCGCGGGUGGCAACAUGCCGCGGCACGGUAAACCCCACCCGGAGCAAGACCAAAUAGGGGAGCAAUGGCGUGGCCCGCGCUGCUCCCGGGUAGGUCGCUGGAGGUGCACGGUGACGUGCAUCCUAGAGGAAUGACUGUCCUCGACAGAACCCGGCUUACAGGCUGGCUUCCCCU